rnacentral:sRNA from 1 species
CGCGAUGGAGGCGAGACCCCCCAGUAACAGAGGUGGUGGCUACUGCUGCGGCCACUGGGUUUCGGUCUCUUCCCAGCAGCGGCUCUAAGAAGCGCAGCGGAACUCGACCGGAUCCAACCCAGUUAGUUACUUCCUGUCUAGAGUUGUAGCUUCCACCUGAGACGGGGUUUCACCAUGUUGACCAGGCCAUUCAGCCGACUUGUAGCAGUGCGACAGAUUGCACCUUCUAGCCACCAUGGCAACCUCAUCUGAAGAAGUUUUGCUGAUUGUAAAGAAAGUGCGUCAAAAGAAGCAGGAUGGAGCUCUAUACCUCAUGGCAGAAAGAAUUGCUUGGGCACCUGAAGGCAAAGAUAGAUUUACAAUCAGCCAUAUGUAUGCAGAUAUUAAAUGUAAGUCAGCUCUACUAAGUUCUGAUGUAUUUGUAUGUCAUAGUUGCUAGUAAUUUUGUAAAAAGAUUAUAUAAAUAAUCUUUAUUUUAUAUCAAAAAAUCAACCAUGUAGAAAUAAUUACAAAAUGGGGUCACUGAAUAUAUACUGUUUUAUAACCUGACCUUUUCACUUAAUAAAACAGGUACAGGUUUACAUAUAAUAUGUAAAUCUACGUGACGUAUAGAUCUCCACACACUUUAAGAGUUGCAUAAUACUCCAUUAAAUGAAUACACAAUCAUGUAUUUAACCAGCCCUCUGUGGUUGGACACUUAGGAAGUUUCCAGAAUUUUUUUAUUGCAGUGUUUGCACUAAUAUCAUUUCAAGGUUGUGUGUGUAGGAUAC